rnacentral:rRNA from 1 species
UACGGAGGAUGCCAGCGUUAUCCGGAUUUAUUGGGUUUAAAGGGUGCGCAGGCGGCACGGCAAGCCGGCGGUCAAAUCGCGGGGCUCAACCCCGCCCAGCCGUCGGAACUGCCGGGCUAGAGUGGGCGAGAAGUGCGCGGAAUGCGUGGUGUAGCGGUGAAAUGCAUAGAUAUCACGCAGAACUCCGAUUGCGAAGGCAGCGCACCGGCGCCCUACUGACGCUCAGGCACGAAAGCGUGGGUAUCGAACAGG